GAUGAACGCUGGCGGCGUGCCUAAUACAUGCAAGUCGAGCGAACAGACGAGGAGCUUGCUCCUCGGACGGUAGCGGCGGACGAGUGAGUAACACGUGGAUAACCUACCUAUAAGACUUGGAUAACUUCGGGAAACCGGAGCGGAUACCGGAGAAUAUAUUGAACCUCAUGGUUCAAUAGUGAAAGACGGUUUUGCUGUCACUGAUAGAUGGAUCCGCGCCGCAUUAGCUAGUUGGUAAGGUAACGGCUUACCAAGGCGACGAUGCGUAGCCGACCUGAGAGGGUGAUCGGCCACACUGGAACUGCGACGCGGUCCAGACUACUACGGGAGGAAGCAGUAGGGAAUCUUACGCCAUGGGCGAAAGCCUGCCGGAGCAACGCCGCGUGGUUGAUGAAGGUCUUCGGAUCGUAAAACUCUGUUAUUAGGGAAGAACAAAUGUGUAAGUAACUAUGCACGUCUUGACGGUAGCUAAUCAGAAAGCCACGGCUAACUACGUG
rnacentral:rRNA from 1 species